rnacentral:misc_RNA from 1 species
CAGAGUUCAUGCCCUUCGGGGUAGACCUCCCACCCUUUGUAUACAUUGCCUUUGUUGCUUUGGCAGGCCGCUUCAGCUACCGGCCCCGGCUGGUGAGUGCCUGCCAGAGGACCCUAAACUCUGUGUUAUAGUGUCGUCUGAGUAACUAAAUAAUAGUUA